rnacentral:lncRNA from 1 species
CUGAAAUUCUUCAUACAGAACUACCAUUCACAUUACGGUGUUUCACACAAACACAGACUCAUUCUCUCUGCUGAACUACAAUUAGAUUUCAACAUUCAAUCUUUCUUCUUCUCAAAUAAUACCAAUCACAUUUCCAUUCCAUAAUUCACUUCAUAAUAUUUAGAAACUCUCAAUCCUCUUAUUCAAAGAAAAUAACAAACAAAAGAAAAGAGGUAGCACCAAGCUUACCCCGGCUCACAACUAUCACAGCGAUGGCACCUUAAUUAACUU